CUUAGUUAGAAGCUUCCUUUUGCCCAGAAAUUAUCGUGCAGCUGAGUGAUAAGAAUGAAUCCAACCAAGUUUGAUCUCGGAUUUCCAUUGCACAGAAAAUAAGCGAGCCUGCACAUGAAGCCUUAGAAGGGGUGGCUGAGGAAAGACGCUUACUCACCGGGCCCCUGAGCCUCUUUGGCUGCCAGACUCAGCGAGGAGACAGCUUCUGUCUCACUUCAUUCUGCCCAGCUGAUGCUCAAGGUCCACAUCCGUAGGAACUGCCCUGCCGGAUUUGACACAGGUGACUCCACUUCGGUUCUGACGGCUUCUGCAAGACCUCUUGGUUGCCUUCAGGAUCCUCUUGCACCAGCCCACUCACCAUUCAUCACGUUUUCUC
rnacentral:lncRNA from 1 species